rfam:Gossypium hirsutum cultivar TM-1 chromosome 11, whole genome shotgun sequence
AACCCAUGGUGUGGGCACCUUCGCAAUAGACCUUGUAUCUCUCCCAUGCAUCAUAAACUGUUUCUCAGUCAAUCUGCACAAAAGAAGAAAUAUCAUUACGUAACUU